AGGGAGCGCGUGGCUGCGUGUCCAGCCCACGGGACUUCCCUGGCGCGCGCCGUGAGUCACGCCGACCCCGAGACCUGGCGCGCCCACUCGCCGUGGACUGAAGGGCGGAGGUCAGGGCUGGGCGGAAGCCGAGCUGGGCUCAGUCCACCCUGUGGUGGGAGCGUGAGCCGAGUCCAGCUUCGGAGAACCUGCUCCAGCCAGUUAUAAACCCGCCCCGCCUCCUGCGUAAACCCGCAAAGACGUAGAUAACACUUGCAGAUACCCGGACCAGCCCUGGACCCACACCGUCUUUCCUUGCCCAGUAAACCACUGUGUGGCUGCCCCAGCUAGGCCUCAUGCUGCGCUGUCGGAAGCCCACUCCCCCCAGCCUCCUGGAAUGGCACUCCCCAUCAGAGCAGGACCUGCAGGGACCCCAGGGUCUGCCCUUGACACUUGGAGAUGUCUGCUUGUGGCCACCUGCCCGCUUGCCUCUAUCAGACACUGAGCCAGCAGA